rnacentral:rRNA from 1 species
UACAGAGGUCCCAAGCGUUGUUCGGAUUCAUUGGGCGUAAAGGGUGCGUAGGUGGCGCUGUAAGUCGGGUGUGAAAUUUCGGAGCUUAACUCCGAAACUGCAUUCGAUACUGCGGUGCUUGAGGACUGGAGAGGAGACUGGAAUUCAUGAUGUAGCAGUGAAAUGCGUAGAGAUCAUGAGGGAGACCAGUGGCGAAGGCGGGUCUCUGGACAGUUCCUGACACUGAGGCACGAAGGCCAGGGGAGCAAACGGG